GUUGAUUCAUUAGCAUUGAACUCAUGGCCAAUAGCACUUUAGCUCAUGCCAGAAUGAAACUUAUCUAACACGUGUGUUUUUUCCAUUACGCCACACAUCACAGCCUUCUUACACUUAGGAACAGUAGGCAGCUUUUCAACACCACACUUGGGGGCCAUAUUAAACAGCAAAACACCCAGCCAAAAAAAAGCACAAAAAUGAGAAAAAUGUGGCACUAAAUGGACCAGGGAGAUGAACACUUCUUAACGCUGUGAACGUUGAGACAAGAAGGCGCAGAGCGAUGGCUUGCUCUGUGUCAGCUGGAAACACGUGUGCUGGGAGACUCAAGAUUUCUCACCACUCUGUGCAUGUCCACAGAUGACUACAACAGUUGCUGUGCCAGAGGUGCAUGUGAGAAAACCAGGCUGCCUUGUCUGCUCAAUAGAUGGCAGGGCCGAGUGGUUGCACAGCUCAGGAGGAGGCACUGGCCAUCUUUUUGCAAAAUGCAGCAUCCCUGGGCAGAAAGCCUGCAUUCGCGAUGGUGACGAUAAUUUCAUGGAUGGGUAUUCAUUUGAUGCUGUUUAUUGUCUCCCCUGAACCGGCUGGAAUGUGAACUCCAUGAGGAAUUGUAUGUCUGCUUUCAUGGCUGUAUCCUCAGUGCUUGGAGCAGAGUAGGCAGCAGCUGACAGAAGGCACUUGUGGUAGGCAGAACAAGGGCCCCCAGAGUUGUCCAAGUGCUGAUCUCUGAAACUGACUAUGUUACCUUACCUGGUCUUCUGCUUCUUGGGCUUUGCUGAUGUGAUUAAAUUAAGGGUUUUGAGAUGGGGAAAUCUUCCUGGAUUAUCUGGGUCAAUAUAAUCAUGAGGGACCAUAAAGGUGAGGAAGCAGGAGGGCAGAGUUGAAGAGGAUGCGAUGAUGGAAGCAGAGGUGGGAAUGAUGCAAUUGCUGGAAGGGUCCAUGAGCCAAGGAAUGUGGACAACCUCCCAAAGCUGAGAUAGGCAAGGAAAUGGUUUUUCCUUUGGAGGCUCCAGAAGGACUACUAACCUGGCACCCUAUUUUAGACUUCUGACCUCCAGAACUAUAAGAAAAUAAAUUUGUGUUGCUUUAA